rnacentral:lncRNA from 1 species
AUGCUCCAGUGGAGUGUCAGGGAAAGAUAGGAAAAAAGACAAAUCAUUUUAAAAUGGUGCUUUUCCAGAGACAGAGCACAGCUGAAAGUUAGACUGCAGGUAUUUAAGCCUACAGAAAUGUAAGCAGAAAGAUAAUGUGAUCUACUUUGUGAGAGGCAAACUCCUUGGCUGUAAUGUUGAAGGGAAUGAACUCAGAUGAGGCUAGAAAGCAAAUGCAAUAAUUCAGAUUAGAGAUGGUAACAGUCUUUUUCAACGCAGAGUUCAAGAAGAUGGAGAUGAGAGGCAAAACACAGAUGAGAGCAGUCUCAACAGGGUUUGGUGACCGACUACAAUGUGUAUUUCUGGCAGCUGUGAAGGAAUCACUCUGAGCAAGCAGAAGUCCCCACACUCUUACCCUCUGCCUCUUCUGUGGAGAGAAGCGCUGUGGGCCCACCUCCAUCCCAGCUGAAGAAGUGGACUAGCUCCUGGUGGAAGAAGAAAAGAGCCAUGUCUACUUCAGAAGGCUGCUGUCACACAGUGGGAACCCCAGCCAUGCCAGUAAAACCCACGAUCAGUGCCGCUGUAUCCUCAAGGCUGAGCCAUUGAGCCACUGACUCCCCUGAUCCUCCCACCAGAGAUGAAAAGUGACCCAAACACUAAGCCAACCAGCAUUCCAGCUUCUUCUGCGCCGCCUAGGUGGAGCAACCGGAGGGAAGCAAGGCACUUGGAGGUCAGCCAUUCCUGGCUGGCCAGGCCUGGCUGCUGG